UACGUAGGGCGCAAGCGUUGUCCGGAAUCAUUGGGCGUAAAGAGCUCGUAGGUGGUCUGUUACGUCUGCUGUGAAAUCCUAGGGCUUAACCCUGGGCCUGCAGUGGAUACGGGCAGACUAGAGGUAGGUAGGGGAGAAUGGAAUUCCCGGUGUAGCGGUGAAAUGCGCAGAUAUCGGGAGGAACACCGGUGGCGAAGGCGGGUCUCUGGACAGUUCCUGACGCUGAGGCACGAAGGUCAGGGGAGCAAACGGG
rnacentral:rRNA from 1 species